rnacentral:rRNA from 1 species
UACGAAGGGUGCAAGCGUUACUCGGAAUUACUGGCGUAAGCGCGUGUAGGCGGCCAGGUAGGUCUGCUGUGAAACUCGAGGCUCAACCUCGAGCUGUCGGCGGAAACCCUCUGGCUAGAGUCCGGAAGAGGAGAGUGGAAUUCCCGGUGUAGCGGUGAAAUGCGCAGAUAUCGGGAAGAACACCCGUGGCGAAGGCGGCUCUCUGGGACGGUACUGGACGCUGAGACGGCGAAAGCGUGGGAGCGAACAGG